GCGACGAAAAAGUUCUGCGUUUCUGUACCUGCGCCAAAGGGCAAAACAAAAAACAUGACAAUGGGAAAACAUACACACACGUCACAUACGACAAGCAGCUGGGCGACGCCGGUUGAUCAUUGAUCCCUCGCCCACGUCCAUUAAAGUAAUGUUUGCUUUUGCCACCUGUCAACCAGAUAUCAUAAAUCCCGACGUCUGAAUGUAUCCAUUAAAAGGAAAAAAACUUGAAAACCUAAAGGGUCACGUCGUCGGUCAUUAUUAUUUUAUUAUCAUUAUUAUUACAUUGUUAUUAUUGAGAA